AUUGAACGCUGGCGGCAGGCUUAACACAUGCAAGUCGAGCGGGGAAGGGUAGCUUGCUACCUGACCUAGCGGCGGACGGGUGAGUAAUGCUUAGGAAUCUGCCUAUUAGUGGGGGACAACAUUCCGAAAGGAAUGCUAAUACCGCAUACGCCCUACGGGGGAAAGCAGGGGAUCGUCGGACCUCGCGCUAAUAGAUGAGCCUAAGUCAGAUUAGCUAGUUGGUGGGGUAAAGGCCUACCAAGGCGACGAUCUGUAGCGGGUCUGAGAGGACGAUCCGCCACACUGGGACUGAGACACGGCCCAGACUCCUACGGGAGGCAGCAGUGGGGAAUAUUGGACAAUGGGCGCAAGCCUGAUCCAGCCAUGCCGCGUGUGUGAAGAAGGCCUUUUGGUUGUAAAGCACUUUAAGCGAGGAGGAGGCUACUGAGAUUAAUACUCUUGGAUAGUGGACGUUACUCGCAGAAUAAGCACCGGCUAACUCUGUGCCAGCAGCCGCCGUAA
rnacentral:rRNA from 1 species